rnacentral:rRNA from 1 species
CGACGGCUCAGUAACACGUAGUCAACCUAACUCGUGGACGUGGAUAACCUCGGGAAACUGAGAAUAAACCACGAUAGAUCAUAGUGCCUGGAAUGGCUUAUGGUUCAAACAGUUUACUGCCAUGGGAUGGGACUGCGGCCUAUCAGCUUGUUGGUGAGGUAAUGGCCCACCGAGGCGAUUACAGGUACGGGCUCUGAGAGGAGAAGCCCGGAGAUGGGUACUGAGACACGGACCCAGGCCCUAUGGGGCGCAGCAGGCGAGAAACCUUAGCAAUGUGCGAAAGCACGACUGGGUCAGUCCGAGUGAUUCCUGAUAAAGGAGUCUUUUGCUUGUCCUAAAAGCACAGGUGAAUAAGGGGUGGGCAAGUCUGGUGUCAGCCGCCGCGGUAAUACCAGCACCUCGAGUGGUCAGGACGUUUAUUGGGCCUAAAGCAUCCGUAGCCGGCUCUGCAAGUCUUCGGUUAAAUCCACCUGCUCAACAGAUGGGCCGCUGGAGAUACUACAGAGCUAGGGAGUGGGAGAGGCAGACGGUAUUCAGUGGGUAGGGGUAAAAUCCUCUGAUCCAUUGAGGACCACCAGUGGCGAAGGCGGUCUGCCAGAACACGUUCGACGGUGAGGGAUGAAAGCUGGGGGAGCAAACCGGAUUAGAUACCCGGGUAGUCCCAGCUGUAAACGAUGCAAACUCGGUGAUGCAUUGGCUUAUGGCCAAUGCAGUGCCGCAGGGAAGCCGUUAAGUUUGCCGCCUGGGAAGUACGGACGCAAGUCUGAAACUUAAAGGAAUUGGCGGG